UACGAAGGGGGCUAGCGUUGCUCGGAAUCACUGGGCGUAAAGGGCGCGUAGGCGGCCAUUCAAGUCGGGGGUGAAAGCCUGUGGCUCAACCACAGAAUUGCCUUCGAUGCUGUUUGGCUUGAGACCGGAAGAGGUAAGUGGAACUGCGAGUGUAGAGGUGAAAUUCGUAGAUAUUCGCAAGAACACCAGUGGCGAAGGCGGCUUACUGGUCCGGCUCUGACGCUGAGGCGCGAAAGCGUGGGGAGCAAACAGG
rnacentral:rRNA from 1 species